ACCUGGUUGAUUCUGCCAGUAGUCAUAUGCUUGUCUCAAAGAUUAAGCCAUGCAUGUCUAAGUAUAAGCAAUUAUACAGCGAAACUGCGAAUGGCUCAUUAUAUAAGUUAUCGUUUAUUUGAUAGUACCUUACUACUUGGAUAACCGUGGUAAUUCUAGAGCUAAUACAUGCUAAAAAUCCCGACUUCGGAAGGGAUGUAUUUAUUAGAUUAAAAACCAAUGCCCUUCGGGGCUCACUGGUGAUUCAUAAUAACUUCUCGAAUCGCAUGGCCUUGCGCCGGCGAUGGUUCAUUCAAAUUUCUUCCCUAUCAACUUUCGAUGCUAGAGUAGUGUUCUAGCAUGGUUACAACGGGUAACGGAGGGUUAGGGCUCGACCCCGGAGAAGGAGCCUGAGAAACGGCUACUACAUCCAAGGAAGGCAGCAGGCGCGCAAAUUACCCAAUCCCGACACGGGGAGGUAGUGACGAUAAAUACUGAUACAGGGCUCUUUUGGGUCUUGUAAUUGGAAUGAGUACAAUUUAAAUCCCUUAACGAGGAACAAUUGGAGGGCAAGUCUGGUGCCAGCAGCCGCGGUAAUUCCAGCUCCAAUAGCGUAUAUUAAAGUUGUUGUGGUUAAAAAGCUCGUAGUAGAACCUUGGGCCUGGCUGGCCGGUCCGCCUCACCGCGUGCACUGGUCCGGCCGGGCCUUUCCCUCUGUGGAACCGCAUGCCCUUCACUGGGUGUGCCGGGGAAACAGGACUUUUACUUUGAAAAAAUUAGAGUGCUCCAGGCAGGCCUAUGCUCGAAUACAUUAGCAUGGAAUAAUAGAAUAGGACGUGUGGUUCUAUUUUGUUGGUUUCUAGGACCGCCGUAAUGAUUAAUAGGGACAGUCGGGGGCAUCAGUAUUCAAUUGUCAGAGGUGAAAUUCUUGGAUUUAUUGAAGACUAACUACUGCGAAAGCAUUUGCCAAGGAUGUUUUCAUUUAUCAGGAACGAAAGUUAGGGGAUCGAAGACGAUCAGAUACCGUCGUAGUCUUAACCAUAAACUAUGCCGACUAGGGAUCGGACGAUGUUAUUUUUUGACUCGUUCGGCACCUUACGAGAAAUCAAAGUGCUUGGGCUCCAGGGGGAGUAUGGUCGCAAGGCUGAAACUUAAAGAAAUUGACGGAAGGGCACCACCAGGGGUGGAGCCUGCGGCUUAAUUUGACUCAACACGGGGAAACUCACCAGGUCCAGACACAAUGAGGAUUGACAGAUUGAGAGCUCUUUC